rnacentral:rRNA from 1 species
UACGAAGGGGGCUAGCGUUGCUCGGAAUUACUGGGCGUAAAGGGCGCGUAGGCGGACAUUUAAGUUAGAGGUGAAAGCCCAGGGCUCAACCCUGGAAUAGCCUUUAAUACUGGAUGUCUUGAGUUCGGGAGAGGUGAGUGGAACUCCGAGUGUAGAGGUGAAAUUCGUAGAUAUUCGCAAGAACACCAGUGGCGAAGGCGGCUCACUGGCCCGAUACUGACGCUGAGGCACGAAAGCGUGGGGAGCAAACAGG